ensembl:lncRNA
CUACUGAGCCAGCACUCUAGAGCCACACAGGCCGCAGCUAGUGAAGCCCUCGCGCCCCAAAGCCUGUGCUCAGCACCAAGAGACGCCACUGCAGUGAGACGCCUGUGCACCAGGAGGAAGAGGAGCCCUCCCGCGCAGCAACGAAGACCAGAACCACCAAAAAUAAAUAAAUGCCUGAACGCUGUCCCCCGUGAGUUGUGGCCCACAGAACAGAGAGGAGCCUUCUCACUGGUCCCCUCCUCUGGCCGGCCAGCCAGCUCCCCCAAAGCUGCUCCGUGAUGUUCUGUGACCUACUUUCUCCCAGAUUGAAAGCUUUCCUGCUCCCUGGGAGAAUCAGGGCCCUUCAAGAGCUCUCAGGCAGGCAACCUGGGUGUCCCUCGCCCCUGCGGAAUCGUGCCAAGGCUCUGAUGUGUUGCCAUCGCAGCUGCCCCGGUGUGGGAGGGCAACCAGCCAAGGCCUACGCUUCUCCCGAACAGGACAGCAUGCGAGGCAGCAACAUCGAGCGCAAGGAGGGCCCCGCCGUCCAGCCCUGUGCAGCCCCGCCUGCUUCACUAGACCAGGCUUUGGCUUGAGGAGUCAGGACGCCAAUCUCCCUUUGUCCGUCUCUAGCAACUUCGGGGAGGUGGCUCGAUAGAUCGGCUGUUCCCAAACGGCCUUGGACACAAAUAAACCACCUGGCUCUGCCAUUCGUGGCUUCUGACUGUAGGCAAGUUGCCUAACUUCUCUGAGCGACUGUCUUUUUUUGUGCGAAAGAGGAUUUUAUGUCUGUCUUGCCAGGUGAUAGCACUGACUGGCGAGACUAUAUGUCGCUGAGACACCUCGUAGGAGAUCAGUGUGCGGCUGCCGUUGUUUACUCGCUAAGUCGUGUCUGACUCUUUUCCAUCCCCAGGGAUGGGAGCCUGCCAGGCUCCUCCGUCCAGGGGAAUUUUCUAGGCAAGAAUACUGAAGUAGGUUCCCAUUUCCCUCUCUAGGGACCUUCCUGAACCAGGGAUUGACCCCAUGUCUGCUGCACAGACAGGCAUCUCCUGCACUGGCGAACAGAGUCUUAUCACUGAGCCACCUGGAGAUCGAUAAGUGAUCACAAGGAUUAUUCAAUAAUUGGAGAGACCGUGUCAGCUCACUGCAAUCACAUUUCACUCUAUCCAGUCAAGAACUAUCAAUAUUUUCUCUUUUCCAGCCACAGGGCUAAGCCUGAAGGCUCUUAAAGACAUGGGCAGGGGUUCUUCCUGCAGGAAAUUUCAGCCCCUAGCAGAGAAUCUCUAACUUAUGUUUAUCAAGAUAGAAAGAGGUGGCUCUCUGUUCUAAGUAGAUACAGUUGGUUGGUAAACAGCACUUUCAGGUCUGGCUCAUGCAGAGACAACAUCAGAAAGAGCCCGUAAUUAGUGACCCAGAGCCCAGGACCUGAGCUGGUUAUCUCUAGGGUGCUGGCAGACAUCUGGCCUAAGUAGUAAAGAAGAACCCAGACCUCUGGUCCCGGGGGCACGUUCAGGCUGAGCUGGACCCAUGUAAUUAGCGCUGGGACCAGGCCUCUCUGGCUAUAACCACAGCAGUUACUAGAGAUUCUGUUUAUGUCUCUCCAGCUGGGGGACUGUCCCUCCUGCUC